ACAACGGUUUUAAUGAAAACCAUCAUUGUUUAUAUAAAAUCAAAA
rfam:Prunus persica cultivar Lovell chromosome G1, whole genome shotgun sequence.